rnacentral:lncRNA from 1 species
AUGAAAUAGGAUUAAUCAUUAUUUAUUCUUUUUUUAUAUAAAGGGUAAAAUUGUAAUCUUACAAAUUUUACUAUUCAAAAUAUAUUAAAAUACUCUCACAACUAUCACACCAUUCACAAUUUCCAAUAAACUUUCUUCACACAUUCACUCUAACAUACCCCAAUCCAAACAACCUCAACUUUCUUCACACUUCCACUCCCACUCACCCUCAACUUUCCACUCCCCCAC